GAUGAACGCUGGCGGCGUGCUUAACACAUGCAAGUCGAACGAAGCACUUUAAUCGAUUUCUUCGGAUUGAAAUUUUAGUGACUGAGUGGCGGACGGGUGAGUAACGCGUGGGUAACCUGCCUCACACAGGGGGAUAACAGUUGGAAACGGCUGCUAAUACCGCAUAAGCGCACAGUACCGCAUGGUACGGUGUGAAAAACUCCGGUGGUGUGAGAUGGACCCGCGUCUGAUUAGCUAGUUGGCAGGGUAACGGCCUACCAAGGCGACGAUCAGUAGCCGACCUGAGAGGGUGACCGGCCACAUUGGGACUGAGACACGGCCCAAACUCCUACGGGAGGCAGCAGUGGGGAAUAUUGCACAAUGGGGGAAACCCUGAUGCAGCGACGCCGCGUGAGCGAAGAAGUAUUUCGGUAUGUAAAGCUCUAUCAGCAGGGAAGAAGAAAUGACGGUACCUGACUAAGAAGCACCGGCUAAAUACGUGCCAGCCGCCGCCGUAA
rnacentral:rRNA from 1 species